GGCGACGUAGCUCAGGGGUUAGAGCGAGCGUUUCAUAAGCGUUAGGUCGGUGGUUCGAAUCCACCCGUCGCCA
rnacentral:tRNA from 1 species